AACGAACGCUGGCGGCAUGCCUAACACAUGCAAGUCGAACGAGACCUUCGUGUCUAGUGGCGCACGGGUGCGUAACGCGGGGGAACCUGCCCGUAGGUUCGGAAUAACUCCCCGAAAGGGGUGCUAAUACCGGAUAAUGUCUUCUGACCAAAGAUUUAUCGCCUUGGGAUGGGCCCGCGUUGGUUUAGCUUGUUGGUAGGGUAAAAGCCUACCAAGGCGACGAUCCAUAGCUGGUCUGAGAGGAUGGGCAGCCACACUGGGAGUGAGACACGGCCCAGAAUCCUGCGGGAGGCAGCAGUGGGGAAUAUUGGACAAUGGGCGAAAGCCUGAUCCAGCAAGGCCGCGUGAGUGAUGAAGGCCUUAGGGUUGUAAAGCUCUUUUAUCCGGGAUGAUAAUGACAGUACCGGGAGAAUAAGCUCCGGCUAACUCCGUG
rnacentral:rRNA from 1 species